rnacentral:piRNA from 1 species
UCCAAAUUCACUUCCUCUGCCUUCCCAAC